AAUUCUAUUUUGCAGUGGCCUACUAACAAACCCAAGCUGUAUUGUCAUUAGUUACUGUGGUUCCUCUGAAGGUUAAUCCAUAGCUGCUCAUACACUACCAUCAUUUUAUCAGUUCCUACUUGUACAUGCAACAAGUUACUUGCUGCUAUAGGAUAUGCUGUAGACACACAACUGUCCAACAUGUUAAUUAUUACAAGUGCAUGGAAUGAGGAAUAAACUCACUGAGUUUACAAAGCUAUAGCCAGGGUCAGUACAAGUAGUAAAUUAUUCAUCCAAUGGAUCAAUGCUUGGAAAACUCUUUCUCUUCCCGGAUUUCAUGCUGCAAAACACAUUGGGGAGUAUUUGUUUGUCUAAAGUCGUUGUAACCUAUCUUUCCAACGAGCUAUAGUGUUCUAAAUUUAUCCUUUUGAACAAUAAUAUUUUAGAGAUUUUUAUGAUAAUAUAAAUAGAUAAUCGAGUCCUCCUCU